rnacentral:tRNA from 1 species
GCGCACUUAGCUCAAAUCGUAAGAGCAUCACUCUUGAAAGUUGAGGUUGUGGGUUCAAUUCCCACAGUGCACA